ACCAGACUCCUACGGGAGGCAGCAGUGGGGAAUAUUGCACAAUGGGGGAAACCCUGAUGCAGCGACGCCGCGUGAGUGAAGAAGUAUUUCGGUAUGUAAAGCUCUAUCAGCAGGGAAGAAAAUGACGGUACCUGACUAAGAAGCCCCGGCUAACUACGUGCCAGCAGCCGCGGUAAUACGUAGGGGGCAAGCGUUAUCCGGAUUUACUGGGUGUAAAGGGCGUGUAGGCGGGAAAGCAAGUCAGAUGUGAAAACCAUGGGCUCAACCUGUGGCCUGCAUUUGAAACUGUUUUUCUUGAGUACUGGAGAGGCAGACGGAAUUCCUAGUGUAGCGGUGAAAUGCGUAGAUAUUAGGAGGAACACCAGUGGCGAAGGCGGCUUUCUGGCUCAUAACUGACGCUGAGGCGCGAAAGCGUGGGGAGCAAACAGGAUUAGAUACCCUAGUA
rnacentral:rRNA from 1 species